rnacentral:rRNA from 1 species
GGAUUAGAUACCCUGGUAGUCCACGCCGUAAACGAUGAUCACUCGUUGUUGGCGACACACAGUCAGUGACCAAGCGAAAGCGAUAAGUGAUCCACCUGGGGAGUACGUUCGCAAGAAUGAAACUCAAAGGAAUUGACGGGGGCCCGCACAAGCGGUGGAGCAUGUGGUUUAAUUCGAUGAUACGCGAGGAACCUUACCUGGGCUCAAAUGCUUAAUGACAGACCCUGAAAGGGGUUUUUCUUCGGACAUUUUGCAAGGUGCUGCAUGGUUGUCGUCAGCUCGUGCCG